CCUAACCAGAAAGCCACGGCUAACUACGUGCCACCAGCCGCGGUAAUACGUAGGUGGCAAGCGUUAUCCGGAAUUAUUGGGCGUAAAGCGCGCGCAGGUGGUUUCUUAAGUCUGAUGUGAAAGCCCACGGCUCAACCGUGGAGGGUCAUUGGAAACUGGGAGACUUGAGUGCAGAAAAGGAAAGUGGAAUUCCGUGUGUAGCGGUGAAAUGCGUAAAGAUAUGGAGGAACACCAUUGGCGAAGGCGACUUUCUGGUCUGUAACUGACACUGAGGCGCGAAAGCGUGGGGAGCAAACAGGAUUAAAUACCCUGGUAGUCCACGCCGUAAACGAUGAGUGCUAAGUGUUAGAGGGUUUCCGCCCUUUAGUGCUGAAGUUAACGCAUUAAUCACUCCGCCUGGGGAGUACGGCCG
rnacentral:rRNA from 1 species